UGGGGAAUUUUGCGCAAUGGGGGAAACCCUGACGCAGCAACGCCGCGUGAGUGAUGAAGGCCUUCGGGUCGUAAAGCUCUGUCAGAGGGGAAGAAGUGUGAGGUGGCUAAUAUCCAUUUCACUUGACGGUACCUUCAAAGGAAGCACCGGCUAACUCCGUGCCAGCAGCCGCGGUAAUACGGAGGGUGCGAGCGUUAUCCGGAUUCAUUGGGUUUAAAGGGUGCGUAGGCGGGGCGGUAAGUCAGUGGUGAAAGCCUGCAGCUUAACUGUAGAAUUGCCAUUGAUACUGUCGCUCUUGAAUGCGGUUGAGGCAGGCGGAAUGUGUAAUGUAGCGGUGAAAUGCUUAGAUAUUACACAGAACACCGAUUGCGUAGGCAGCUUGCUAAACCGUGAUUGACGCUG
rnacentral:rRNA from 1 species